UACGAAGGGGGGCUAGCGUUGCUCGGAAUCACUGGGCGUAAAGCGCACGUAGGCGGAUUGCUAAGUCAGGGGGUGAAAUCCUGGAGCUCAACUCCAGAACUGCCUUUGAUACUGGCGACCUUGAGUCCGGGAGAGGUGAGUGGAACUGCGAGUGUAGAGGUGAAAUUCGUAGAUAUUCGCAAGAACACCAGUGGCGAAGGCGGCUCACUGGCCCCGGUACUGACGCUGAGGUGCGAAAAGCGUGGGGGAGCAAACAGGG
rnacentral:rRNA from 1 species